rnacentral:rRNA from 1 species
GACGAACGCUGGCGGCGUGCCUAAUACAUGCAAGUCGAGCGGACCAAAGGGAGCUUGCUCCUGGAGGUCAGCGGCGAACGGGUGAGUAACACGUGGGCAACCUGCCUGUAAGACUGGGAUAACAUCGAGAAAUCGGUGCUAAUACCGGAUAAUAAAAAGAACUGCAUGGUUCUUUUUUGAAAGAUGGUUUCGGCUAUCACUUACAGAUGGGCCCGCGGCGCAUUAGCUAGUUGGUGAGGUAACGGCUCACCAAGGCAACGAUGCGUAGCCGACCUGAGAGGGUGAUCGGCCACACUGGGACUGAGACACGGCCCAGACUCCUACGGGAGCAGCAGUAGGGAAUCUUCCGCAAUGGACGAAAGUCUGACGGAGCAACGCCGCGUGAGUGAUGAAGGUUUCG